UUGAACGCUGGCGGCAGGCCUAACACAUGCAAGUCGAGCGGUAGAGAGGUGCUUGCACCUCUUGAGAGCGGCGGACGGGUGAGUAAUGCCUAGGAAUCUGCCUGGUAGUGGGGGAUAACGCUCGGAAACGGACGCUAAUACCGCAUACGUCCUACGGGAGAAAGCAGGGGACCUUCGGGCCUUGCGCUAUCAGAUGAGCCUAGGUCGGAUUAGCUAGUUGGUGAGGUAAUGGCUCACCAAGGCGACGAUCCGUAACUGGUCUGAGAGGAUGAUCAGUCACACUGGAACUGAGACACGGUCCAGACUCCUACGGGAGGCAGCAGUGGGGAAUAUUGGACAAUGGGCGAAAGCCUGAUCCAGCCAUGCCGCGUGUGUGAAGAAGGUCUUCGGAUUGUAAAGCACUUUAAGUUGGGAGGAAGGGCAUUAACCUAAUACGUUAGUGUUUUGACGUUACCGACAGAAUAAGCACCGGCUAACUCUGUGCCAGCAGCCGCGGUAAUACAGAGGGUGCAAGCGUUAAUCGGAAUUACUGGGCGUAAAGCGCGCGUAGGUGGUUCGUUAAGUUGGAUGUGAAAUCCCCGGGCUCAACCUGGGAACUGCAUUCAAAACUGUCGAGCUAGAGUAUGGUAGA
rnacentral:rRNA from 1 species